rnacentral:misc_RNA from 1 species
CUUAGGGGAUCUGAACAUUUUUUUUCCUCUAGAAGUUAAGCUUCAUGUAAAUCCACCUGUGAUACUGAUAAGAAAGUAAUUUUUUUAAUCACGGUAUUGCAAAAUGGUUAACGGGAUGAUUUUAGGGGAACAUCUUGACUCUACUUUUCUAAUAUGGUUGCACUGAAAAGUUCAUCAUUCUAAUUGUCUGUUUUCUCCUUUUUAAAUAAAAGUCGUCUUCGUUUUAGUCUUGUGUAUUAUCACUUAUUUUCAGUCUGUGCCCAGGGUGUGUUGCAUAUAUGUUUAAUUUAUGGCCGCCUUAUUUUGGAUUGGUGCAGGAAUUUCUUGGAUUGCCGAGGGUCGAUGCCAUCCAUCUUCUGGCACAGUACAAUGGAAAUGCUGAGACUGUCAUCCAGGAAAUAUUUGCAUAGCUUAGGAUCUAAACCUAUACCAAAGACACAUUUAUUUGUUCAUUACAAGAAGUAAACCUUAAUUCAAAUUAGUUGCAUAAGCUAUAUGGUUCCUUUUUUAACCAUUUAGCUUUAUUUGAGAUCAAUUUAUUUGUUCAUUAGAUAAAAGAAAAUUAUUUUAUUCAAAAGUUGUACCGUAUCUGUAAAUAACUUGCAGAGCGACAGUCUUGAUAUCAAAUGCCAAAGAACGGGGCCUCCUUUUUUAUCGGUUUCUGUAUAUUUUACAUGUGUUCUUGUCACUAAUAGAGCAAAUUUUUUAUUUGUGUGUGUAGUUUGUCA